AGAACGAACGCUGGCGGCAUGCCUAAUACAUGCAAGUCGAACGAACUCUUCGGAGUUAGUGGCGCACGGGUGCGUAACGCGUGGGAAUCUGCCCCUUGGUUCGGAAUAACAGUUGGAAACGACUGCUAAUACCGGAUGAUGACGAAAGUCCAAAGAUUUAUCGCCAAGGGAUGAGCCCGCGUAGGAUUAGCUAGUUGGUGAGGUAAAGGCUCACCAAGGCAACGAUCCUUAGCUGGUCUGAGAGGAUGAUCAGCCACACUGGGACUGAGACACGGCCCAGACUCCUACGGGAGGCAGCAGUAGGGAAUAUUGGACAAUGGGCGAAAGCCUGAUCCAGCAAUGCCGCGUGAGUGAUGAAGGCCUUAGGUUGUAAAGCUCUUUACCCGAGAUGAUAAUGACAGUAUCGGGAAGAAUAACGCCCCGGCUAACUCCGUCGCCAGCAGCCGC
rnacentral:rRNA from 1 species